rnacentral:rRNA from 1 species
AUACCAAUAUGACGCGGGCUGGACCUCUCGGGGUUACAGCCUUGCUGAAUUAUUCACCCUUGUCUUUUGCGUACUUCUUGUUUCCUUGGUGGGUUCGCCCACCACUAGGACAAACAUAAACCUUUUGUAAUUGCAAUCAGCGUCAGUAACAAAUUAAUAAUUACAACUUUCAACAACGGAUCUCUUGGUUCUGGCAUCGAUGAAGAACGCAGCGAAAUGCGAUAAGUAGUGUGAAUUGCAGAAUUCAGUGAAUCAUCGAAUCUUUGAACGCACAUUGCGCCCUUUGGUAUUCCAAAGGGCAUGCCUGUUCGAGCGUCAUUUGUACCCUCAAGCUUUGCUUGGUGUUGGGCGUCUUGUCUCUAGCUUUGCUGGAGACUCGCCUUAAAGUAAUUGGCAGCCGGCCUACUGGUUUCGGAGCGCAGCACAAGUCGCACUCUCUAUCAGCAAAGGUCUAGCAUCCAUUAAGCCUUUUUUUCAACUUUUGACCUCGGAUCAGGUAGGGAUACCCGCUGAACUUAAGCAUAUCAAUAAGCGGAGGAA